GUCAGGAUGGUCGAGUGGUCUAGCGGGCGCUGUGUUAAGGUUUCAGUUUCUUCUGGAGGUGUGGGUUCAAAUCCCACUUCUGACA
rnacentral:tRNA from 1 species